UACGUAGGGCGCAAGCGUUGUCCGGAAUUAUUGGGCGUAAAGAGCUCGUAGGCGGUUUGUCGCGUCUGUCGUGAAAGCCCACGGCUUAACUGUGGGUCUGCGGUGGAUACGGGCAGACUAGAGGCAGGUAAGGGAGAAUGGAAUUCCCGGUGUAGCGGUGAAAUGCGCAGAUAUCAGGAGGAACACCGGUGGCGAAGGCGGGUCUCUGGGCCGAUACUGACGCUGAGGAGCGAAAGCGUGGGGAGCGAACAGG
rnacentral:rRNA from 1 species